rnacentral:lncRNA from 1 species
GCAGUUUAUUAUAGCAGUGCAGAUGAGUCUGGCGAUGAGGCUAGUGCUGAUGAGCAGAGUCAUCAUGGUGAUGACGAGUUUGGAGAUGCAGAAAAUGGUGGUAGGACUCAGAGUGAUAUGAUCAGGGGUUCAACCUUAGAUGAGGAUAACUAGACGUGCUUUCACUUUCUGCAUGUACUCUACCUGCACUAGUUUGUUGUUUGUAUGGCAUGUGCCAUGUUAUAAGCUUGAGGGUUUUUUUUGUUUUUGUUUUGUAUGUUUAUGAGUGUUUGCAUUAUCAAGCAAGUGUUUGUAUUAUCAAGCUUCAAGUGUUCGUAUUAUCAAGUUUCAAGUGUUUACCCUAUCAUUGAUGAAUGUUUGGCUAUGUUUGCAUAGAUCCUUUGUAUAGUCUUGUUGACAUAUACUUAGAUUUUAUUUUGUAUUGGAAACAUGUGCGUUGAAGCUUCAACACUUGAGUGUUUCAUUGCUCAGAAUGGAAAAGAGUUUAGGGCCGAG